UGAAGGGCCAUUGCGGUUGUAAAAUGGGGGUUUUCAAGGAAUAACGGUGGCGUACGGGAAAGUGGGAGUGUUGAAAUACACCCAUAUCUGAGACGAGCCAAAUAGAGAAAAGAAUAACUCAGCCGUGACCAACAAGGCAGGCAGCCGCAGCGACAAUUUCAGUAGGAUUAUUUCUGCAGUCACAUUCGAAAUAUCCCGCGCAAUGUGUGUCGGCGCUGUUUUUCUGUUCGGAGUAGCCGCGCCUUGGCGCUGCACACAGGACGCCGAAAGUCGGAGCGGUCGGAACUACGCGCGGAGGAGCACAAGCCUUCGGAGCGCGCGCGCGGGCGUUGAAAGCCUCAAAGGGGCAGCCAUUGUCAGCGGCGGCGCAUUCUUCUACCGUGGUUGUUGUUUCUCACAGCAUUGAACCCCCAAGACUCCACGAUUACUGGAUACGCCGUCACUUGAACCUCGGCGGCCGGAGCAGGACUGUGGUUGCGGUCGUUUCGUUGCCAGCUGUGAGGAUGAAGCAGCUUCAUAACCGGAGAUCAGUCGCCUCCCAUCAGUUUCCCUUUUCAGCAAUAGAGGUCUUGGUAUGCU